GUGGGGGGUCACUCGCAGCGGAUGGUCCUGGAACUCCGAGUAGGUGCGCUGGCAUACAUAUGUUUACAGGUGGUAUAGAAUUCCAGACGGUUGCGUAACUGCUAGCCGGGUAGGGUAUAAGAGGCAUAGUGAAACGUUUCUGAUCACAGUUGAUUCUUUCUCUGUUGGCGGUAAACAGCAUUUUAUCAAUACAGUGUUGGCUAUUUGGAACCUUAUAGAAUAUUGUGUAUCCGAGGAACCGUUUGCAAGAGAAGACUGACUUUGUCCACUGACUUUGUCUGAUGUGUGAGUGACAGAACAUUUUGCUGUUUGUUUAUUUGAGGAGAGCUGAUUGAAUGAGUAGACAGCGUUGUGAUUCUUGAACCUGCAUCUGUGGUUUCUUUGAGUACUUCCAGAAGGAGCAGGUGCAAUUGCUGUUUGUGUCCUGGCUUAUGGCAGUGUCAGCAUUUUGCCUGGUGGAAGAAGCAGAGUUCGCAAUCUUGCAUUACAUAGCACUUAACACAAGACAACAGAGAACAUGAACUUGCAGACAAACAGGCUGGCCCCUUUAUGUACUCCUUACACUCCUGCAUAUAACUGUUGUCAGCAUGUGCCACGCAGGAAUGGGCCCACUUUGGACUAUCAGCAGUAAGCAUUGCAAUAACAAUCACAAUAAAGUCAAAUUCUGCAAACUUUUGCACUUGCUAAGAUUUAGUCAGGUUAAGUACAUCAGUGAGAGCAGGACUGCAAUGUUUUAAAAUCUCAGCCCUUAUUCCAUUGUCUGGAAGGUUCUGAAUAAUUACGUCAUGAAGCAUUUCAUCUUGAAAUCAAGAUCUACAAGUGCAGUUAAAUUUAGAAUUCCUCAUCAUGUCCUUGAGGUCAGUGAUCCAUUUCUUGUAAGUCUGAUUACAAUGAUGACACAUAUAAAAAAAAUUUAAACAAGCAGCAGCUACAUAAGUCGGAGUGUCAAAAGUUCCUCUAACCUCUGAACAGCUUUCUCACAGGGUAGACUUUGAGGCUUUACUUGGAGGAAUAACUUUUGACACAGCCUAAAAAUAAACACUCCUAGCCAAGAAAGAAAGAGAGGUCAUUGUGAUUUUGUAGGCUGCAAAGUUUGAGCUGUGAUUUGCAUUCCAUCCAGUCCAUUGGUUUUCAUCAAAAGUGUGGAAGGGAGGAGGUAGCACAUGCCCUCCAUAAUUCUGUACCUCUGUCAUAGUUUACCGUUGGCUUCUUGUGCAUCAAACAAUCUGCUAAUGGUCAUAAGUAAAGUUUGAAUUUGUUGGCUUUGAAACUGAGUAAUUGCAAUGAGUGUUUGCUGUCCAAAUAGCUGCCACUUCAUACAAAAAUAAAAUACAUUUGAAUACAUAGUAUAUAGACAAACAAGAAAUGGAAAUAGUUAUGCAAUACUGAAAAUUUUUUGAUUAAUUUUAUGAUUAGUGCUCGUCCAAGAAUCCACAGCUAUCAUCUUCUCAUCACCAGAAAUGUCUCAGAAAUGUCUGUUGUGUCCAUAGUUGGUAAGAGGUGGCACAAACAUUUCAAAAUUUAUUAAAUGAUUAAAACAUGGGCAUAUUUAUUUACACUAUUUACAAGACAGACGUUUUUAUACAUAAUUUUUGUAUCCUUUAGUUGUAACAAUUCUAUACCUUCUCAGUUCAGUACUGUGGAUCACUGGCUAGCACUUACAAUAAACAAUCACUUGCUAGCUGUUAGCAAAUUAGUAGCAUUGUGUUAGGUCUCUCUAUUCUUACUGUCAGUCUUCUGAGGUCUAGGACGGAGCACAGUGAGUGGUGUCUUUACAAUAUGCGCAGAGGGUUACAUUCACUAGCAGUGAGUUGAAGUGAAGACAAUGUCCUCUGGUGCAUCUGUGACUCCACCCAUCAGAAGAUGGCAAGCUGCAGAGUGAGGAUCACAGCAGUGUGCUGGUAGACUGUUUACAAGUCUUGUCAUCGACGUUAAUUUUUGUGGUAUGCUGUGUGCAUUCAACAAAUAUGUUGUUGAUACUGCACUAAGGCUUUCAGAAACAAUCACUAUCUCUGAAAUCUAGUCCAGAACCAGAUUUCCCAUGCCCCAUUCUCAUGCCCCCUAAUUCUCCCACCAGCCCUAAGAACCAGCAGCAGAGAAGCCUCCACUUCAUCCCCCAAUAUUGUCUCAGACUGGAACAGCUGAACCAUACUCUUCUCCCCGCCCAGAAAAACCUGACCAUCCCUAUGCCACACCCACUCCCAGUCCCUUGCCACAUGGUUCAUAUCCCUGUGGAAGACUCAGGUGCAAGACCUGUCUGAUUUAUCCACCUGGCACAUCCUACUACAUUUCAUCAAAGUCUUAUCCUAUCACAACCUGUGGAAACACCCAAGUUAUAUGCCACCACUGGCGCAAUUUCAGCACAGCAAUUUAUAUGGGCAUGACCAUCAACUAGCUGUCCACCCCAAAGAAUGGCCUCUGUCAAACUAGCAAAGAGCAAGUUGACCACCCAGUGUUGGAACAUGCUGCUGAGCUUAACAUGCUCAGUUUCAAUGGCUGUUUCUCAAGCCAUGCCAUCUGGACCCUUUCUUAACUACAUGGAGGGAGUUAUCCUUGCAACACAUCCUUCAUUUCCAUAAUCCUCCUGGCCUCAAUCUCUGCUAAAUGCACUGCACCCACACCCACUCCUCAUAGUCUCACCUUCCUCAGUUCUGUCAUCCACUCCCAGUUCACUGCCUCAAGUCACUAUCAUUACAGCCUUGUAAAUUAUUUACAUUCUGAUAGCUGAAAGUAAUUUUGAUUUGUUUGGAAUUGCAUGAUAUGAUUUUUUUAUAAGGUUAAGGUUUAAAAUGUUUGCUGUGAAUCUCAAACUCUUCCAAUGUCCCAGGCAAAUCAUUUAUGUAGGCCAACAACAGGAGUGGGCUAAGGACCGAACCUUGCAGGACAUCAUGUUUUUCCACUCUGAAUUUAGUCUUAUUCCUGUCAUCUUAUUUUUUAAUGUGUCCCUCUGUUUUCUGUUGUUAAGAUGUUAUUCAAUAACACUAUACUAUUUUAGUUCUCAUCACCAGCUCAUAAGUAGUUUGUUUGCAUAUAGGAGCCUAACUAAUAAGACAAUCUCUCUCAUAAAGGUAUAAAGUUUAAUCCAUCACUAUUGUUAGCUCCCUGAUAGUCCUAACAUACCUUUCAUGAGACCAUUUUUGAGAAGUGAAUUUACUAGAGUAAGAGUUUAGUCAUAUUGUGUUAUAGUCAGCAUUCCAUAAACAAUUUUGGGAAAUACCUGACAAUCAAAUCUCAGUUUCAAGAAUCUUGAAAUUAAUUUUGAGUUGUUUCAAGUUUCUGUGAACCAUGCACUGUUUCCCUCUGACACUCUUUAAACUGUUUACUGUUGAGUCACCUAAAUGUUUUAAAUUUGUCUGAAAGCUCUGCAUUUAAUGUCUGAUGUAUGUAAAUUAUCUAGAUAGUCAUGUUUACGCUUUUGUUGGAUGUAUGUUGCACAUAAUUUCUUGAACUACUUAUGAGCUCUAAUAUGACUUAAACACUUCUGUAUAUUAUCUGUGUGUUAUUGUAUUUCUAUAUUUUAAUGUCUAGA